UACGGGGGGGGCAAGCGUUGUUCGGAAUUACUGGGCGUAAAGGGCUCGUAGGUGGCCAACUCAGUCAGACGUGAAAUCCCUCGGCUUAACCGGGGAACUGCGUCUGAUACUGGAUGGCUUGAGGUUGGGAGAGGGAUGCGGAAUUCCAGGUGUAGCGGUGAAAUGCGUAGAUAUUCGCAAGAACACCAGUGGCGAAGGCGGCUCACUGGCCCGAUACUGACGCUGAGGCACGAAAGCGUGGGGAGCGAACAGG
rnacentral:rRNA from 1 species